GGGAACAUAUUUUUAUUGCUGACUUAGAUAUGAUUUAUCUUUAUAGUACAUUCUAUUUUUGAAAAAAUAUUAUAAUACAGUGUUUAUUAAAUCUUAUCAGUCAAGUCUUAUUCAUGAAAAAGAGAAAACAUAUUUUUUAUAUGCAUAUUUUAAAAUGUUUACAGUAUUUUUACAUUAUUCAGUUGAAAGUGGCACAACCCUAAGAGUUACAAUGCGUUAAUACAUCCCAAUAAUGCUUGAGAACCUGUGAUGAGUUCAUCUCACAAAUUUGUAGUGAAUCGGUGAGCAAACCACCAACCUGUAAUAUGUAACUAACUUUAAUUAUUUCAAAAUACACUGCCCUGACGAUAAUGCAAAAUAUUACUAUGUAAUUUUCAAUUUUAGGGACCGAUUUUGAUGAAGACUUAAAACCAGACCAGACUUAAACCAUACUCUGGAAGAUUUAGGCGGUCUACUAAAAUUUGGUGGCAAUUAUGGCCGUUCUGAAAGUAAGAUUGUUUUGGUUGAAGUUAUAUCUUCGUUUCCUUAAAAGAAUGGUAUGGAAAUAUAGUUGAAGGUCAUAAAAGCAGGCUUCCGUUUAAUUAUUUAAGUAAGAAAAGAAAUUAACGUUACUAUUACUAUAUUGACCUGGCACGUAAAGAGAAGUAGUUUCAAAAUAUGAAGAUUUCAAAGAUUUGAAAAUUCUAGCUGCCAGGAUACCAAUGAAAUAGGAUGACUCCCGUCUACCCAAAUGAUUUUAUACACAAUAUACACUAAAAUGAAUGUGUAUAUUUCUAAAAUUAUAAAUUCUCUUGACCUGAC